rnacentral:rRNA from 1 species
UACGUAGGGUGCGAGCGUUACUCGGAAUUACUGGGCGUAAAGCGUGCGCAGGCGGUUCGUUAUGUCCGUUGUGAAAGCCCCGGGCUCAACCUGGGAAUGGCAAUGGAAACUGGCGGGCUAGAGUGUGGCAGAGGGGGGUGGAAUUCCGCGUGUAGCAGUGAAAUGCGUAGAGAUGCGGAGGAACACCGGUGGCGAAGGCGGCGAGCUGGCCUGUUACUGACGCUGAGGCGCGACAGCGUGGGGAGCAAACAGG